GACGAACGCUGGCGGCGUGCUUAACACAUGCAAGUCGAACGGAAAGGCCCUGCUUUUGUGGGGUGCUCGAGUGGCGAACGGGUGAGUAACACGUGAGUAACCUGCCCGUGACUUUGGGAUAACUUCAGGAAACUGGGGCUAAUACCGGAUAGGAGCUCCUGCUGCAUGGUGGGGGGUGGAAAGUUUCGGCGGUUGGGGAUGGACUCGCGGCUUAUCAGCUUGUUGGUGGGGUAGUGGCUUACCAAGGCUUUGACGGGUAGCCGGCCUGAGAGGGUGACCGGGCACAUGGGGACUGAGAUACGGCCGAGAGUCCUACGGGAGGCAGCAGUGGGGAAUAUUGCACAAUGGGCGGAAGCCGGAUGCAGCAACGCCGCGUGCGGGAUGACGGCCUUCGGGUUGUAAACCGCUUUCGCCUGUGACGAAGCGUGAGUGACGGUAAUGGGUAAAGAAGCACCGGCUAACUACGUG
rnacentral:rRNA from 1 species